GACGAACGCUGGCGGCGUGCUUAACACAUGCAAGUCGAACGAAGAGCGAUGGAAGCUUGCUUCUAUCAAUCUUAGUGGCGAACGGGUGAGUAACGCGUAAUCAACCUGCCCUUCAGAGGGGGACAACAGUUGGAAACGACUGCUAAUACCGCAUACGAUCUAAUCUCGGCAUCGAGGAUAGAUGAAAGGUGGCCUCUACAUGUAAGCUAUCACUGAAGGAGGGGAUUGCGGCUGAUUAGCUAGUUGGUGGGGUAACGUCCCACCAAGGCGAUGAUCAGUAGCCGGUCUGAGAGGAUGAACGGCAACAUUGGGACUGAGACACGGCCCAGACUCCUACGGGAGGCAGCAGUGGGGAAUCUUCCGCAAUGGACGAAAGUCUGACGGAGCAACGCCGCGUGAGUGAUGACGGCCUUCGGGUUGUAAAGCUCUGUUAAUCGGGACGAAAGGCCUUCUUGCGAAUAGUGAGAAGGAUUGACGGUACCGGAAUAGAAAGCCACGGCUAACUACGUG
rnacentral:rRNA from 1 species